UUGAACGCUGGCGGCAUGCUUUACACAUGCAAGUCGAACGGCAGCGCGGGCUUCGGCCUGGCGGCGAGUGGCGAACGGGUGAGUAAUACAUCGGAACGUGCCCAGUAGUGGGGGAUAGCUCGGCGAAAGCCGGAUUAAUACCGCAUACGACCUGAGGGUGAAAGCGGGGGAUCUUCGGACCUCGCGCUAUUGGAGCGGCCGAUGGCAGAUUAGCUAGUUGGUGGGGUAAAGGCCUACCAAGGCGACGAUCUGUAGCUGGUCUGAGAGGACGACCAGCCACACUGUGACUGAGACACGGCCCAGACUCCUACGGGAGGCAGCAGUGGGGAAUUUUGGACAAUGGGCGAAAGCCUGAUCCAGCAAUGCCGCGUGUGUGAUGAAGGCCUUCGGGUUGUAAAGCACUUUUGGCGGGAACGAAAAGGACUGUGCCAAUACCACGGUCCGAUGACGGUACCCGCAGAAUAAGCACCGGCUAACUACGUG
rnacentral:rRNA from 1 species